rnacentral:rRNA from 1 species
GUCUACGGCCAUACCAUCCUGAACAAGCUUGAUGUCUGAUCUUGGAAACUAAGCAGGGUUGGCCUGGUUAGUACUUGGAUGGGAGACCACCUAGGAAGACCAGGUGCUGUAGGCA